GACGAGGUGGCCAAGUGGUUAAGGCAAUGGACUGCUAAUCCAUUGUGCAUUGCACACAUGGGUUCAAAUCCCAUCUUCGUUC
rfam:Loxodonta africana unplaced genomic scaffold scaffold_108, whole genome shotgun sequence.